UUUUUUUUUUUUCCUUCCAAAUCACUAAUAGCUGCUACUCUACUACCUUGUCAUUUACAGGUUGUUGAUGUGGUUAUUGCAGCAGCACUCUGCUGAAUGGCUGUAAUUUACAUACACUUAUCUCCGCUCCCUUCUGCUUCCCCUGGCCUCCUGUAAUUUGCUUGUUACACUAAUUGGCAGGAAGGCCUUCAUCUCACUGUGGAAGUGGUGUGAUGUGGUACUCUGCGAUGGAGAAGUGAUCUUUGAUGACGCCAAAGAAUUUUUAACAAAGCAACACCAUAGAGAUCUUUGUUAUUUGUACUGCUGCUGGCAGGAAUAUCUGAGUGCUUCACGUCUGAAAUAAGCUUGAGAUUUGCUGCUUCCAGCACAGAUUGAAAGCAAGAGUAGACAUUGGGUUCAGAGCUCAGCAGGAUGUGACAUUUUAUUGUACUGCUUUUGAGCUGCUUUAUUCCCUGGAAACUCUUAUGCUGUCCUGGCCUUAAAGUCAAGUUUGCCACAUGAACAAAUGCAUAUCAAAUGAUGACAGAUCUACAAGUAAAGGAUUCACACAAGGCACAGAGUGGGCAAGAUGACCUCUGGGAGCAACCAGUACAACAUCACCAGGACCAAGAAUAGUUAUCUCUAAGGACUUGGCUUCAUCUGUUCUGAGAUGCUGACAGAUCUGUAGAAGCCUGGUUUUGUCGCUGUAUUUGGAACAACUCCAAGCCGACAAAAGGGGGUAAGUAUUUUUGUUUAAUUAAACUGAAUGUGGUUCUUCAUGGAGAAAAUACCCUGGUUUCAUUCACAAAGAUAACUAUGAUCUAGCUAUGGA
rnacentral:lncRNA from 1 species